rnacentral:rRNA from 1 species
GCGGCCUAUCAGCUUGUUGGUGGGGUAAUGGCCUACCAAGGCAACGACGGGUAGCUGGUCUGAGAGGAUGAUCAACCACACUGGGACUGAGACACGGCCCAGACUCCUACGGGAGGCAGCAGUGGGGAAUCUUGCGCAAUGGGCGAAAGCCUGACGCAGCAACGCCGCGUGCGGGAUGAAGGCCUUCGGGUUGUAAACCGCUUUCAGCAGGAACGAAAAUGACGGUACCUGCAGAAGAAGGAGCGGCCAACUACGUGCCAGCAGCCGCGGUGACACGUAGGCUCCAAGCGUUGUCCGGAUUUAUUGGGCGUAAAGAGCUCGUAGGCGGUUUAGUAAGUCGGGUGUUAAAACUCUGGGCUCAACCCGGAGACGCCAUCCGAUACUACUAUGACUUGAGUUCAGGAGGGGAGACUGGAAUUCCU